rnacentral:lncRNA from 1 species
AUUCCCACCUAGGACCAUAGGCUCAAGAUGGCCUGGUGGAUGCCGCCGGCACGCGCCUCUCCUCUGGCGGGAACCGAAGGCGCCGGUAGGUUUUCACACUUGCAGCCGAUCGGCUAAGAGAACGCGGGAUUCAGCCGAGAAGCCACUGGGAGCCCGAGGAGCGGAGCAGAGGCACCCAGGCAGCCUGCGCGGAGAAAUCGGAUCGGCUAGGACGGCCUGCAGCCCCUGCGCGCGGGGAAAGGGAAGAAGUCCUCCCCUACAAAGCGAGUUCACAAACUUGGAAGAAGCCACUUUCACAGGAUGCACAGAUCUCAACGGAAGGACACAGAAAACAUGAAAAAGCAAGGAAAUGGGGCGCCUCCAACGGAACCCAGUAAUUCUCCAGCAGCAGAUCCCCAUCCAAAAGAAACAGAAGACAUUUUGGAGAGAGAAUUGAAUAUACAUAUUAUACAGUUGUGGGCAUAAUACAAGCAUCAUUUGGAAAAGAACAGAGAAAAAAGAUGGAAGGAGUUACCGUACUGCAGGAAAAAAUUAUCAACUCCAGUGAUAUUAUUAAAUACAACCUAACGACACUUCUGAAGCUGAAGAAAUCACUGGAUGAAAUACAAAGUAAACUCAAAAGCUUCAGUGAUAGACUAGAACAAGAAGAAGAAAGACUCUCAAAACUUGAAAUCUGAAGCAUGUUUCUUAAAGAUUUAAAGGGUUAUUAUACUCUGGCCAUUAAUGUGAACGAAAUCUGCUGGGUUAAUUCUUAUACUGGGGUCUUGGAUAAUCAUUAAAGUGAAAUGAGAAUAAUUUCUUUUUGAGAUGAUCAAUUUUAUGAGGUC